AGUUGCUGUAGCAACCGGCGGGGGAAGUGGGACAGGCUGGCUUUGAGGACGCGCGAGGUCGGCCGCGGGCGGCUGGAGCCGGCGCGGGCCUCUGUGCGCCGCGAGAGGGAGGCCGCCUGCAGCCCGGCUGCUCGGCCGCCGCGGGCCCGGCUCCGGGGGUUCAGUUUUAAUGAAGAAUCCCUGCUCCCUUCUCGCGCCCCUCCCGCUUUCUGCCCACCUCCCUGGGGUCUGGAAGGAGAGGGUCGCCCCUCCCCGCUUUGGCUGCUAAACUCUCUGGCUCUCCCCCCGGCCGCUGCCUGGGUUCUGGUGGCUUCCUUCCUCCUCCUUGUCUGUCGGAGCUCAAGGGACAAGCCCUUUCCCUGGCGCGUGCCUGGUGAAACCCUCGCACCCUUCCCCACCCCCACAAGCCUUUGGCAUGGCCUGGGAGACUCCGGGCAUCUUCAACCCAGCCAGGGACAAGGGUCCGCGGAGGGUCUGGAGCCCCUCGUGGGCCUGGUGCCCACGGAGUGCCCACCCCUGCCCUCCAGGAGCCCCUGGGAAGGCAGCACUCUGUUCAAGGAGGAAGCCAGACCCAGCUACAAGGGAGGGACCCUCGGCUGAUGCAAAGAGGCCGGAGCCCGCAUCCCAGCACCGCCCCCGCCGGCUGUCUGCUGGUUCCUUCUCCAAGGCCUUCAGAGAGGAUCCCUGAAGCUUGGCAGGGACAGACACAGGUUCUGGAGUGGGCUGGGCCUGAGUUCAAAUCCCACACUCCAGUGGGACCCUCAUCCACCGCUGAUAGGAAUGAGAAGUGGUUCGACUACUUUUGGAAAACAUUUGGCACUUUUAAAAAAGUUGAACAUACUCUUACCACGGAUCUGACCAUGGCACUCCGAGGCUUUUAUCUCCAAGAAAUGAAAUCUCCACCGGCGCAGUGGCUCAUGCCUGUAAUCCCAGCACUUUGGGAGGCUGAGGCGGGCGGAUCUCUUGAACCCAGGGGUCCAAGACCAGUCUAGGCAACAUAGUGAGACCCUGUCUUUACAAAAUAUUUAAAGACUGGACGGGCGCGGUGGCUCAUGCCUGUAAUCCCAGCACUUUGGGAAGCCGAGACGGGCGGAUCACGAGGUCAGGAAAUCGAGACCAUCCUGGCUAACACGGUGAAACCCCGUCUCUACUAAAAAUACAAAAAAUUAGCUGGGCAUGGUGGUGGGUGCCUGUAGUCCCAGCUACUCUGGAGGCUGAGGCAGGAGAAUGGCCUGAACCCGGGAGGUGGAGCUUGCAGUGAACAGAGAUCAUGCCACCGCACUCCAACCUGGGCGACAGAGCGAGAGUCUAAAAAAAAAAAACAUAUAUGUAUAUAUAUAUGCCGGGUGUGGUGGCUCACGGCUGUAACCUCAGCACUUUGGGAAGCCAAGGCAGGUGAAUCACCUGAGGUCAGGAGUUCAAGACCAGCCUGGCCAACACGGUGAAACCCCAUCUCUACAAAAAAUACAAAAAUUAGCCAGGCAUGGUGGUGCAUGCCUGUAAUCCCAGCUACUUGGGAGGCAGAGACAGGAGAAUCGCUUGAAUCUGGGAGGCGGAGGUUGCAGUGAACCGAGAUCAUGCCACUGCACUCCAGCCUGGGCAGCAAGGGCGAAACUCCGUCUCAAUUAAAAAAAAAAAAAAAAAGAAUUAGCCAGGCAUGGUGGUGCACACCUGUAGUCCCAGCUACUCAGGAGGCCGAGGUGAGAGGAUCGCUUGAGCCAGGGAGGUUGAGGCCGCAGUGAGCCAAAAUUACGCCACUGUACUCCAGCCUGGGCGACAGAGCGAGACCAUGUCUCAAAAAAAAAAAAGAAAGAAAAGAAAAGAAAAGAAAAGAAAGAAAAAGAAAACAAUGAAACUCACCUCCACACAGAGCCUUGCACAUGAGUGUUCACAGCAGCUUUAUUUGUAAAAGGCGGAAACUGGAGACAGCACAGUGUUGCUCCGUCCCGCAGGCAAAGGGAGCAACAGGUUGUGGCACAUCCGUCCCAUGGAAGGCGACUCACCAACAGGAACGACCGUGCACACAGCACCACAGCACCAUGACCAGGAGAGGAGCCGGAACAACCGUGCACACAGCACCACAGCACCAUGACUGGGAGAGGAGCCGGCAGCCACCAGCAAGGCAUGGGGGAUUGUGUCGGUGUGAAGUCCCGGAAGAUGCGUGCGAGUCGGUAAUGACAGAAAGCAGCUCUGUGGUUGCCUGGGGAUGCUGGGGUCCAGGAAGGACUACAAAUUGGCAAUGGGAAACUUUUUCUUUCUUUUCUUUUCUUUUUUUUUUUUUUUAAGACAGGGUCUCACUGUCGCCCAUGCUGGAGUGCAGUAGCGCAGUCAUAGCUCACUGUGACACCUUCAUCUCCUGGCUUCAGGUCUCAGCCUCCCAAGUAGCUGGGAUCAUAGACACAUGCCACCAUGCUUGGCUAAUUUUUGUAUGUAUGUAUGUAUGUAUGUAUUUAUUUAUUUAUUGUAGAGACAGGGUCUCUCUGUGUUGCCCAGGCUGGUCUCAAACUCCUGGUCUCAGAUGAUCCUCCUACCUUGGCCUCCCAAAGCACUGAGAUUACAGGUGUGAGCCACUGUGCCCAGCCAGCAUGAGGAAACUUUUGUUGGGACAGGAGGCAGUGGGGUGGGGUGGGGGUGGGUGUGUUCACCGUCUUGAUGGUAGUGAUGGUUUUAGGGGUGUGCUGCACCUGUGCCAAAGCUCAUCAAGCUGUGCGAUUUAAAUAUGUGCAGGUAUCCAGUGUCCAUUAUGCCUCAAUACAUUGAAAAAGCAAAUUCCUGCUCUACCAUGUUGAUGUUGGGUGGGUCACCUCAUUUCUCACUCAUGACAAUGGAAGAAGGAUGGUACCAGCCUCCUGGGUUGGUUCUGAGAAUUCAGUUACACAGUGUUGGUAAAUUGUUCGGCUCCAUCCUGGGCAAAUCAUGGGUGCCUGAUCCAGGGCAGAUAACAGGACUGUAGGACUGCAGGACUGCAAGACAAAGCUGCUUCAGCUCGACCUCCACCACUCCUUCAUGGCCUCCCAUCAGAAGGGGAGCCCCUGCUCCGUGCCAGGCCUGGCCACUCCCUGGGUUAAUAAGGGGGGAACAAGCCCUAACUCCAUCCUCGUGGGCUGGCUGGGGUGACAGAGACAAACAGUGACAAUUACAACCUAGGGAAGAGCGUUCCAGGCACGUGCAAAGGGCCUGUGCUGGUGGGACUACGGCACAUUCCCGAAUCCACAGGAAGGGCCUUUGUGGCUGAAGUGGGGGCAGCAUGCAGGGCACAGACUGGCCCUGCAGCUUCUUGUGGGACCUGCUCAGGGGUGAGCACGGGGCCUUGUGAGGGUGCCAAGCCCCUGAAUGCGGCUUGGAGGAGGCUGUGGCGUUGGCUCUGUGUUGGUGGAAAUUCCAGCUUCCCUCUUCACUGCCAUUUACUUCCUGUAAGCCUCAGAUUCCCUGUCUGGUGAAUGGGGGUAAGGACCCCCAAUGAGAUCUGACACAGAGCUCGGUGUUUGGAGGUCUGGGUUAUGUCCACCUCCCUUGCGUCUGUCACACUGUGUUAUAGUUUUCAGCCUUUGGGUAACUUUCCCAGCCCAACUGUGGGUUCCCGGGGGCAGCGCCUGCAGCCUCUCCUCUCUGAGCCCCUGCACUUGGCACAGAGGCACAGCCCAGGGACCCAGUGACUAUCUCAGGAGGUGAAUGGAGUCCCCUGUGUAGCAGGAACAAAGCCCCUGCCUCCACAGGGUUCACUGUCUGGUUGGAAGACAAAGAGAUGACUUCUUCCAUGGUGGGCAGGUGCGGAUCCCAGGAGCUCUCCAGAGGUGUUGAGACCUUCAUAACCUCCACCCUCAGCUCCUGGCUGGGGCCUUCUCUCAAGUUUAGAGCCAGCGUGGGCUAUUUUCUUGGUUUUCUGAGCUGUAAUUAUGAACAGCUUUGACCAGCCGGUUUUCAUCCUUUGCUCAUUAGAGAAUGAAGCCUCAGUCGGGCAUUGUAGCUCACGCCUGUAAUCUCAGCACUUUGGGAGGCCGAGGUGGGAAGAUCACCUGAGGCCAGGAGUUCGAAACCAGCCUGGCCAACAUGGUGAAACCCUGUUUCUACUUAAAAAAAAAAAAAAAAUUAGCCAGGCAUGGUGGCACAUCCCUGUAAUCCCAGCUACUUGGGAGGCUGAGGCAGGAGAAUUGCUUGAACCCUGGAAGCAGAGGUUGCAGUGAGCAGAGAUCGCACCACCACACUCCAACUGGGCAACAGAGCAAGACUCCAUCUCAAAAAAAAAAAAAAGAAAAAGAGAGAAUGAAGCCUUGAAGAGGAGGGGAUUUUCUGAAGCCCCAGAACCAGCUGCCCUUAUUGCCUUACAGACAAUCCCAUCCCCCACCGGAGCCAGCAAGGUGGGAUGGGGUUGAACUAAGAUUCCCACAGGGACCAGGCCAGGAGGGGCUUGGCCAGCUCCCACUCCAUGCCAGAGAGGGGCAUGACUGGGCCAGGUGACAUGGCAGGACCAGCCCAGAGCCCACCUUGGGGUCCCAUCCCAGCUCAUCUCACAGGGCUGGGCCAGGCUGCAGAUGCUCUAGAUUCGUUUCCUGCAGCUGAGGCUCACACCAGCGCCUCCCAGAUUUGUGCCAGGGGAGGAGGAUAAAGCGCUAGGUUGAGACCCAGUAGCGUUUGCCAAGAAGGAGGGUUCUGGCCUCGGAGUGGCUGGGGUCUCCAUGGCCCCCUUCCAAGCUCCCUUCACCAGCAGAGUGGCCAUGCACCCUCCCCUCCCGUCAAAGCCACAGCCCUGACACCACUGAGCCUCUUGGACUCUCUCCAAUGACAUGGCUGAACCGGCCCACCCACGUGGCCAGCCCCACGCCUGUGAUUUCAGAGAGAAGCUUAACAGAGAUCUCACCAAAUUCCACCCCCUCAGAGGCUGACCCAAAUGCCCAUGCUCUGUGACCACGGCCAUCUCGCUGCCCCUCUCUGAACCUCCUCUUCUGAAAACUGCCUGCCAUCACACUAACCUGCCAGGCACUUUUGAGCAGCUGAUUUCACAAAUCUUAAUUAUUAUUCAGAUGUCCGCUUUACAGAAUAACAACUGAGGCCGGAGAGUCUAGGUGGAGCGCCCAAAGCCGGCCAGGUGGUGGGCAGUGACGUGGGCAGCCAGAGGCCUGGGCUAGUGCCUGGAUUCCCAUCCCAGCCGCACUGUGACUCAGCGGCCUGGGGCGAGUCACCCACCCGCAGAGCCUCGGUUUUCUCCUCUGUAAAGUGGGGGUGAUAAGGGCACAGAAUGAGCCUGAGCAGGUGCAGCUCUCAGCACAGGGCGUGGGGUUCUGUGGGCAGUGCCCUCCAGGCACCUCCUCCCUUGGUGGUGAUGGAUCAAGAUCGUUCAUGGAACUGUGUUGGGAACAUAUAGAUGAGGAAUUCCAUUUGCUAUGACAAUUAUUAUUCAAUGGCUUCCCGAGUCAGGAAUGUAGGUCCUGCCCACGCAGGAGCUGUGUCUCUGGUGUGAGCUCCAGGGCCCCUCCUUCUCUGCCCUCCACAUGUAGCCGGGAGGUCUGAGCAGGUCUUGUUUUUCAGCAAUCCCCCCGCCCUUCCCUGGAGGGAAGGCGAUAUCCACAAUUCCUUCCUGAGCACCUACUGUGUGCCAGGCAUGGAGAGGCACCAGAGGCGAAGACGGGCCCAGUGUGGUCAGGGGUAUAAUGGGGGCACCAGGGUCUAUGGGAGGCUGGAGGCAGCCCCUGACCUUGCCUAUUGUUAGGGGGAGGGAGCACAAAAGGCUUCUAGAAGAGCAGGUCUAACCUGAGACCCAAAGCUUGAAUAGGAGUCAACCAGGCUGAGGGUGUGGGAUGCUCUGGCAAGGGGCACGCAGUGUGCGCAAAGGCCUGGGGCGAGAGGAACAGGACUCAUUAGAACACGGCUUGCAGGCAUGUUCGUUUCAAUAUCCCACGGGGUGGGAGGGGUCAUGGGGAGCCAUGGAAAGUUUUAGGCAGGAAGUAACAUAUUCAGAAGCACCUUCCAGAAAGACUGCUCUGGCUAUCCUUUGGAAGAAGGAUUGCAGGGCAGAGCAGAAGCAGGGAGGCCACCAAGGUGGCUGCUGCAGACAUCUGGAUGAUAAUGGGGGUCUGGACCAGGGCGGCAAAAGUCGGGGAAGGGAAGUGAUUAAAAAGAUGUAGGCCAGACGCAGUGGCUCACGCCUAUAAUCCCAGCAUUUUGGGAGGCU
rnacentral:lncRNA from 1 species